GCCUGAUCCAGCCAUGCCGCGUGAGUGAAGAAGGCCUCGGUUGUAAGCUCUUUCGGUCGGGGAAGGAAAUUAGCACGGGUUAAUACCCUGUGUAGAUGACGGUACCCGAAUAAGAAGCACCGGCUAACUACGUGCCAGCAGCCGCGGUAAUACGUAGGGUGCGAGCGUUAAUCGGAAUUACUGGGCGUAAAGCGUGCGCAGGCGGUUUGGUAAGUCAGAUGUGAAAUCCCCGGGCUCAACCUGGGAACUGCAUUUUGAGACUGCCAGGCUGGAGUUUUGGCAGAGGGGGGUGGAAGUUCCACGUGUAGCAGUGAAAUGCGUAGAGAUGUGGAGGAACACCGAUGGCGAAGGCAGCCCCCUGGGCCAAUACUGACGCUCAUGCACGAAAGCGUGGGGAGCAAACAGGAUUAGAUACCCUGGUAGUCCACGCCCUAAACGAUGUCAACUAGGUGUUGGGAGGGUUAACCUUUAGUGCCGUAGCUAACGCGUGAAGUUGACCGCUGGGAGUACGGCCGCAAGGCUAAAACUCAAAGGAAUUGACGGGG
rnacentral:rRNA from 1 species